rnacentral:rRNA from 1 species
GAUGAACGCUGGCGGCGUGCCUAAUACAUGCAAGUCGAGCGAACAGACGAGGAGCUUGCUCCUCUGACGUUAGCGGCGGACGGGUGAGUAACACGUGGAUAACCUACCUAUCAGACUGGGAUAACUUCGGGAAACCGGCGCUAAUACCGGAUAAUAUAUUGAACCGCAUUGUUCAAUAGUGAAAGACGGUUUUGCUGUCACUUAUCGAUGGUUCCGCGCCGCAUUAGCUAGUUGGUAAGGUAACGGCUUACCAAGGCAACGAUGCGUAGCCGACCUGAGAGGGUGAUCGGCCACACUGGAACUGAGACACGGUCCAGACUCCUACGGGAGGCAGCAGUAGGGAAUCUUCCGCAAUGGGCGAAAGCCUGACGGAGCAACGCCGCGUGAGUGAUGAAGGUCUUCGGAUCGUAAAACUCUGUUAUUAGGGAAGAACAAAUGUGUAAGUAACUAUGCACGUCUUGACGGUACCUAAUCAGAAAGCCACGGCUAACUACGUG